rnacentral:lncRNA from 1 species
UUUUCAGUUUUCCACUGUUUCGGUUCUAUUUCGCGCCGAGCAAUGCUAAAACUCUUCUAGCUCACUUGGAACUCACUUUUAACACUUCCAACAUCGUUGGAAUGCUAAAUGAAAUUUCUUCAACUAUUUCUCUCGAACACUUUAGUCAAUUUGUCUAAAGUUCGAUAUACUCUACUGAGAUUUCGGUAUAUUACAGUUCCGCUACCCCAUGCAUCGAUCCUGCAGUUGGAUUACCGUGUACAUUAUAUUACCGUGU